GACGAACGCUGGCGGCGUGCUUAACACAUGCAAGUCGAACGAAGUGGCGAACGGGUGAGUAACGCGUAAGCAACCUGCCCUUCAGAGGGGGACAAUAGUGGGAAAGGAAUGCUACUACCACAUACGGAAGGGGGGGAAUGCGUCUGAUUAGCUAGUUGGGGGGGUAACCGCCCACCAAGGCGAUGAUCGGUAGCCGGUCUGAGAGGAUGAACGGCCACAUUGGGACUGAGACACGGCCCAGACUCCUACGGGAGGCAGCAGUGGGGAAUCUUCCGCAAUGGACGAAAGUCUGACGGAGCAACGCCGCGUGAGUGAUGACGGCCUUCGGGUUGUAAAGCUCUGUUAAUCGGGACGCGGUACCGGAAUAGAAAGCCACGGCUAACUACGUGCCAGCAGCCGCGGUAAUAC
rnacentral:rRNA from 1 species